rnacentral:rRNA from 1 species
UACGAAGGGGGGCUAGCGUUGUUCGGAAUCACUGGGCGUAAAGGGCGCGUAGGCGGCUUUAUAAGUCGGGGGUGAAAGCCUGUGGCUCAACCACAGAAUUGCCUUCGAUACUGUAGAGCUUGAGACCGGAAGAGGUAAGUGGAACUGCGAGUGUAGAGGUGAAAUUCGUAGAUAUUCGCAAGAACACCAGUGGCGAAGGCGGCUUACUGGCCCGAUACUGACGCUGAGGCACGAAAGCGUGGGGAGCAAACAGG